UCUCCGUAGGUGAACCUGCGGAGGGAUCAUUACAGAGUUCAUGCCCUCACGGGUAGAUCUCCCACCCUGUGUUAUUAUACUUUGUUGCUUUGGCAGGCCGCCCGCGUGGGCUACCGGCUCCAGCUGGUAAGUGCCUGCCAGAGGACCCCAAACUCUGAAUGUUUUAUUGUCUGAGUACUAUAUAAUAGUUUAAAACUUUCAACAACGGAUCUCUUGGUUCUG
rnacentral:misc_RNA from 1 species